AACGCACCUUGCGCUCCUUGGUAUUCCGAGGAGCAUGCCUGUUUGAGUGUCAUGAAACUCUCACCCUCUAGCUUUCUUAAUCGUGGCUAGCGGCGUGGACGUGAGCGCUGCUGCUUUGUUGCGGCUCGCUCGAAAUGUAUUAGCAGACCCUUUUCGUAAUCGGUUCCACUCAACGUGAUAAGUAUUUCGUUGAGGACAGUUGCAGCAGUGCGGCUGGCCGGGAUAAGAAAGGCAUAGUUGUCAGCUUCUAAUCGCCCUCGGGCAAUUUUUUAUGAUCUGGCCUCAAAUCAGGUAGGACUACCCGCUGAACUUAA
rnacentral:misc_RNA from 1 species